CAAAGACCUUAUAAUAUAUUACUAGACCGAAAGCUGCGUGCGCGUUCAGCACAAAACAAAUGAGAUUAGGCUCCGCCUACCGCGAUCAUUUGAAGACAAAAAUAAGCCCUCAUUGACAUUCAUGAGCAUGAAGAUAUUCAUAAUCCGGCCUUUUCAUUGGCUAAGAGCGUCAUUAAUACGCGAUUUCCCCGAUUCUUUGUCAUCGAUACUAGUGGUAUCGUGUUACAGAAAUAAUUAUUCAUUUGACCUCAUUACGUCAUCUAAUUUAUUCAUUCUGAAACUUUUCUUUCCACACACAAAAUGGACCUACGAACACUCCGGUGAGUACGUAUUAAUUGAUAUAACCACAUGAAUUCAGUGGACUAUUUACACAUUUCACACUGCAUUUUGUGAUCUUAGGUUAUUUCUUUAACAAAUUAGAGAGUUUGCUAUCAUUCUUCUGUUAAAGGAAAGCAGAAUUUGGUCUUUGAAAUUGAAGUUAGACUGUCAUCGUCGCCCAGUGCAGCCUGUAUGUUGCUUGCAGUGUAUUUUGUACGGGCUCCUAGCCGGCUGGGAAUCGAGAGAUAAUCGGGCUGGUUUGGUUCACCUCCAACAAGGACCAACCCACGAUUGAUUAAAACAAGAAGAAUGAGGCUUCUUGGGGCUUCUUUUUGUACACCGUAACGUUAGAUCUAGAGGGAGAUCUGCAUCUGUCUUCAGUAGAUCGAGACUCAGUCAGGAAUAAACUGUGAAGCGGAGUGUGGAUGAAGAUACGCCGGUCAUGCCUGUCAUUGACAUUGUGUCAGUCCUCACUUUGUUUCAGAUAUCAAAUUUAUUUUGCAUAACUUCAGGCUUCUGCAUUUAGCCCCCACCAUUUUUUAACUCUUAGUGUUAUUCAUAAAUAUAUAGACUCGGUCUUAGAAAUAACAUGCUGCUCUGCAUGUUUGUCUUAUUAUCAAUAGAUCUACGACCUAUCUUCUUAAUCCUAGGCCCUACUUACUUUAUACUUGGAUCUAGGCCUAGGCUACUUUACUUUUAUUUAUUAAUCGAUGCUAUCAAGAGCUAGGCCUACCUAAUUGAAAUCUAGUCUAACUUAUACUUUCCCAACCCUCGAUACUUACCCCCAGGGCUUAUGAUCUAGGUCUGUAAUUUAGGCCUAGAUCUAGGUCUGGGCCUAAACGACUCCAUUUACUACGAGUAUGACUGUCAGUGGACCAAGGAGUCGGACUAGAUCUAGAUCUACUCUCGGUCAAUAAUGGCAAUGAAGUCUUAGCCAGGAAUAAAAGUCAAAGUCAGACAUCAAAAAUUUCUAAACCGAUAUAGGGUUUAGAACCGAAGCUUUACUUUCUAGGUCUAGAUAGAUCGAGAGUCCAUCGUUAGUCUAGAUCUAGACCUAUUUUAGAUACAUGAGUCAUGAAUGCUGUCGCACAGCAUUGAGUCUCGUUGGACUAGAUCUAUACUUUCUUACAAAUAGAUCUAGACCUAGUGCAUGAGAUUAUGAAAUUAUGUUAAAAUCUAAUGAAAUAAGAUUCGGAAAUAAAAAGAUCCAGAUUUUUUUUUUUUUGGGGGGGGGCAGACAUGUGAAAAAAUUUAGAGAAACCUAAAAUUCAGAAAGCGAGGGCCAGAAGCGACCAAUAUUACCUAGGGCCGUUUUGUGCAUUUUCUAAAGUAAAAUUGAAGGAUGUCAUGCAAUUCUCUUUUUGAUGAAGGUUUUCACAUUUCAGCUCUUACCCAAACCCCUCCCCCUAUACAUACGGCCAUGAAAAAGAUCACUUCUCAUUAUUGUUCUCUCUCUUCUUUCACAAACAGGUUGAGUUUGAAGAACAAGAAAAACAGUAGAGGUCUACCUAUAUGGUUCAAGAUGAUGAUCAUAAGUGCAUGCAUCAUUUUGCAGAUUCUCAUCCAGGAUGAUGCAGUUUUACAAUUUCCAUGGAGGUGAUUGAUGAUGAUAAAUAAUUGGUGACGUAGGCCUAAUAGAACAGCGACUAGACCACAAAGAGAAAUACAACCUACAGCAGUUAUAUGAGACUGGUGUAACAGAUGUUUUCAUUCAAGAAAUCCAACAAUUCAACAUUGAAGAGUCUGACUUAGGAACCACUUGAUGAAGAUGGAAAAGGUUUUUUUUUCCAAGUCCAAUUUUUCACCAAAAAAAAAUUAUUAUCACAACCCCAAAUUCAUGACGUAUGAAAUUUCUUGUUGAUUUUCAUUAAAACUAGUUGCAAAAGGAGAAGCUAUAAACAUACAAAUAGGAGCGGCGGAG